rnacentral:rRNA from 1 species
GAUGAACGCUGGCGGCGUGCUUAACACAUGCAAGUCGAACGGAAAGGCCCAAGCUUGCUUGGGUGCUCGAGUGGCGAACGGGUGAGUAACACGUGGGUGAUCUGCCCUGCACUUUGGGAUAAGCCUGGGAAACUGGGUCUAAUACCGGAUAGGACCAUCGUUUAGUGUCGGUGGUGGAAAGUUUUUCGGUGUGGGAUGAGCUCGCGGCCUAUCAGCUUGUUGGUGGGGUAAUGGCCUACCAAGGCGUCGACGGGUAGCCGGCCUGAGAGGGUGUACGGCCACAUUGGGACUGAGAUACGGCCCAGACUCCUACGGGAGGCAGCAGUGGGGAAUAUUGCACAAUGGGCGCAAGCCUGAUGCAGCGACGCCGCGUGGGGGAUGACGGCCCUCGGGUUGUAAACUCCUUUCGCCAAGGACGAAGCGUUUUGUGACGGUACUUGGAGAAGAAGCACCGGCUAACUACGUG